ACGGGAGGCAGCAGUGGGGGAUAUUGCACAAUGGGGGAAACCCUAAUGCAGCGACGCCGCGUGAGUGAAGAAGUAUUUCGGUAUGUAAAGCUCUAUCAGCAGGGAAGAAAAUGACGGUACCUGACUAAGAAGCCCCGGCUAACUACGUGCCAGCAGCCGCGGUAAUACGUAGGGGGCAAGCGUUAUCCGGAAUUACUGGGUGUAAAGGGUGCGCAGGCGGCACUCUAAGUCAGUGGUGAAACCCAUGAGCUCAACUCAUGACUUGCCAUUGAAACUGGAGAGCUAGAGUACAGGAGAGGAAAGCGGAAUUUCUAGUGUAGCGGUGAAAUGCGUAGAUAUUAGGAAGAACACCGGAGGCGAAGGCGGCUUUCUGGACUGAAACUGACGCUCAGGCACGAAAGCGUGGGGAGCAAACAGGAUUAGAUACCCUGGUA
rnacentral:rRNA from 1 species